rnacentral:rRNA from 1 species
UACAGGGGGUGCAAACGUUGCUCGGAAUCAUUGGGCGUAAAGCGCACGUAGGCGGUUCGUUAUGUCGGAUGUGAAAGCCCUUGGCUUAACCGAGGAAGUGCAUCCGAAACUGGCGAGCUAGAGUACUAAAGAGGAUCGCGGAAUUCCCGGUGUAGAGGUGAAAUUCGUAGAUAUCGGGAGGAACACCGGUGGCGAAGGCGGCGAUCUGGGUCGAUACUGACGCUGAGGUGCGAAAGCGUGGGUAGCAAACAGG